GAACUGAAGAGUUUGAUCAUGGCUCAGAUUGAACGCUGGCGGCAGGCCUAACACAUGCAAGUCGAGCGGAUG
rnacentral:rRNA from 2 species